rnacentral:tRNA from 2 species
GGCACUGUGGCUUAGUUGGUUAAAGCGCCUGUCUCGUAAAUAGGAGAUCCUGGGUUCAAAUCCCAGCAGUGCCU